GGGGCUGUAGCUCAGUUGGGAGAGCGCUUGAAUGGCAUUCAAGAGGUCAGGGGUUCGAAUCCCCUCAGCUCCA
rfam:Caldithrix abyssi DSM 13497 chromosome, whole genome shotgun sequence.